rnacentral:rRNA from 1 species
AGAUUGAACGCUGGCGGCGUGCCUAACACAUGCAAGUCGAGCGGUAACAGGUGUAGCAAUACAUGCUGACGAGCGGCGAACGGGUGAGUAAUGCUUUGGAAUCUUCCCAGUAGUGGGGAAUAACCAGUCGAAAGAUUGGCUAAUACCGCAUACGUCUGUAAAGGGAAAGCGGGGGCUCGUAAGACCUCGCGCUAUUGGAUGAGCCAAAGUCGGAUUAGCUAGUUGGUGGGGUAAUGGCCUACCAAGACGACAAUCCGUAGCUGGUCUGAGAGGACGACCAGCCACACCGGAACUGAGACACGGUCCGGACUCCUACGGGAGGCAGCAGUGGGGAAUAUUGGACAAUGGGGGAAACCCUGAUCCAGCGACGCCGCGUGUGUGAAGAAGGCCUGCGGGUUGUAAAGCACUUUUAGUGGGGACAAAAGCUACGGAUUAAUACUCUGUGGUCUUGAUUUAACCCAAAGAAAAGCACCGGCUAACUCUGUGCCAGCAGCCGC